rnacentral:pre_miRNA from 1 species
AUAGGAUCUAGACCUGGCAUAUCUUCAUACGACCAUGCAAAAAUAUUCGGAUAUUCCCGGAGGAGUUGGAUGAUCUUCUUUUUAACCCCUUCCUCUAGAGCAGCACCGAUCUUGAUUUCUCGCUUGUUCUCCUCGGUACCUAUGUUGAUAAGCUCAAUCUCUUCCUGG